CGGACUGAAAGGAAGUGAGCACUCAGUGCUCACUUCCUUUCAGUCCG
rnacentral:miRNA from 1 species